rnacentral:rRNA from 1 species
GAGUUUGAUCAUGGCUCAGGAUGAACGCUGGCGGCGUGCUUAACACAUGCAAGUCGAACGAUGAAGCCCAGCUUGCUGGGUGGAUUAGUGGCGAACGGGUGAGUAACACGUGAGUAACCUGCCCUUAACUCUGGGAUAAGCCUGGGAAACUGGGUCUAAUACCGGAUAGGAGCGUCCACCGCAUGGUGGGUGUUGGAAAGAUUUAUCGGUUUUGGAUGGACUCGCGGCCUAUCAGCUUGUUGGUGAGGUAAUGGCUCACCAAGGCGACGACGGGUAGCUGGCCUGAGAGGGUGACCGCCCACAGGGGGACUGAGACACGGCCCAGACUCCUACGGGAGGCAGCAGUGGGGAAUAUUGCACAAUGGGCGAAAGCGUGAUGCAGCGGCUCAGAGUUAGGGAUGACGGCCUUCGGGUUGUAAACCUCUUUCAGUAGGGAAGAAGCGAAAGUGACGGUACCUGCAGAAGAAGCACCGGCUAACUACGUGCCAGCAGCCGCGGUAAUACGUAGGGUGCGAGCGUUAUCCGGAAUUAUUGGGCGUAAAGAGCUCGUAGGCGGUUUGUCGCGUCUGUCGUGAAAGUCCGGGGCUUAACCCCGGAUCUGCGGUGGGUACGGGCAGACUAGAGUGCAGUAGGGGAGUCCCGAAUUCGUCCAGAGUCGGAUGAAGGCUCAGGAUUAGAUACCCUGGAGUCCAGAGUUGAUCCGGCUCAGAUUGAUACCCGAGCCAGAGGGCAA